rnacentral:rRNA from 1 species
CGGGCCGCACCAGCAGUGAGGAAUAUUGCACAAUGGGGGGAACCCUGAUGCAGCAACGCCGCGUGGAGGAUGACGCAUUUCGGUGUGUAAACUCCUUUUAUAUGUCAAGAAAAUGACGGUAGCAUAUGAAUAAGCACCGGCUAACUCCGUGCCAGCAGCCGCGGUAAUACGGAGGGUGCAAGCGUUACUCGGAAUCACUGGGCGUAAAGGACGCGUAGGCGGGUUGGAAAGUCAGGUGUGAAAUCCUACAGCUUAACUGUAGAACUGCACUUGAAACUUCUAAUCUAGAGUAUGGGAGGGGGAGAUGGAAUUAGUGGUGUAGGGGUAAAAUCCGUAGAUAUCACUAGGAAUACCUAAAGCGAAGGCGAUCUCCUGGAACAUUACUGACGCUAAGGCGUGAAAGCGUGGGGAGCAAACAGGAUUAGAUACCCUUGUAGUC